UGUAUUCAGACUUGUCCUUCAGUGCUGCAGGGUGAGGGACUGAGUUCAUGAAUUCAAGCAUGCAGAGAACUGAGAAAGUGUCCUGAGUUCCUCAACAGGACAACACUUCAAGGUGUAAAGUAUCUCUCAGGCAUUUCAUCUAGCAAAUAGCUGAUGUGCUAAUAGGAUGUGCCUUCUGUAAAAGCUGAAAACUACACUCAAGGAAAAGCAGAAAGAGAGCAGUAUACAUGAACAAAGCCUCCCAGGCAUGCAGUGAAUGCAGAUUCAAAAGAAGAUACUAAUACACAUAGAAAUAAGGGAUGAGCCAUCCAGGUACAUCAGGCAUUAUUUCCAUGACAAAAAUAAAAAAGUGAGCUUUCAUCUCCUCUGUUGAUUUUUACAAAUUAUCCAGUGCUGUGCAUAAUGAACAUUUUAGCCACAUUUUUGACAGAGUUUCAAUUUGUGCUAUUCUGCAUCCAGGAACAGGCUCUUGAGGUUUCAAAAGGAUAAAUGCUAGCAAAGAAUAUGGGGUUUUUAAAGGAGAAAAAAGAAUGGAUGUUUAUCGUUGUUUUCUCUUUUUCUGCUUCAGAGCAAUAAGGAGAGGGUGAUGAUCCUGGCUCUGGUCAGUAUCCUCUGCUGGAAAGAAGCCAAAGUUGAUAAUUUUCUUCAGCCUUUAAUUAUCGUAGAAAAUUAAUUAUAUUUCAAUAGCACUUAUGUAAUACGAGAGGCUGGCAAAUUAUGGAAAAAAAUCUCUAUGUCUGUCUGAAGGUUCCAAGAUGAAAGUCUUCAGAUGUUUCUAGAAUGUUCCUGUUAUGAAUUAUGAAGGGCACUUUGGGAUCUGGCAUUUUUAAAAAAACACUUUCUGCUCAUUCUAUGGAACACAUGAGAAUUCAGUGAAACUAAACAAUUAAAUGGAAUCAUUUAGGUAAUAGUAUUGAUCUCAAAAAGCAGGGAUGGGACACCACCCAUCCAAUACAUGGAUGGGACACCACCAGGAAAUAUCAUAAUGGUGGUAUAGACUAGGAAGAGGGGAAAACAUCCAUGGGCAAGUUAUUUCUGUAUUGAGUCAAAAACUCAAUGUGCUCCUGAAAUCCCUUGCAGUGGAGUUGAACUUAUGGAGAAAAAUAACUUUAUAAAGAAACUGUGGAAAUAAUUGCUUGGUUUCCAGCACAUGCCAGAAGGCUAACAAGGUUUCAUAUUCAUAAUUACACCUAUUCCCACCCAGCUAAUUGGCAUCUUUACACCCAGUUUUUGGACUUUCUGAGUUUAACAUUUUUCAACUUGGGAAAUAACCAGUGCCAGAAGCAGGAAAAUAAAAGGAAGAAACACAUGUUGGCAUGGAGACCUGGCUUGAAAAUUGAAAUGAGAAUUUGACCACCUCAUGGAGCCUAAAAUGCUGUCCCAGAGCUCUCAUUAGUUCAAUCAAGUAUGAAAAAAAAUUGCUGGAUAACAUUGCAUAAAUAUGCUGGAAUCGCUUCUAGACACAAUAGGAAAAUAUUCUAAUAUUUUCUGAGGAGCAAAAGUAUUAGUGACUUAAAACAACAGUACUAAGAAGAAAGUCUGUGCUCCCCUGGCCUGCAUAAAAAUAUAAUUGCAGCAAAAUUGUUCAAUAGCCACAGAUGUUCUCCAUACUGCUUCUUAUUAUCCUGAAUCCUUAUCCUGAUGUUCUGCAAGAAUCCCAGAGGACAUAAAAGCAACACCCAAGAUUCAAAGUUCUUUCAUUUUUAUUCACCCAUUUUUUAUUAAUAAAAAUUGAGUUAUUUUUCUCACAUGCUUUUCAUUGGAAAUCAGUGUCUGUAACUAUUAAAAUACAACACAAAAUCCUUAUAAAAUGUACUUUUUGAAUGUAGAGAAUUAAAAGAAAAACUCAGGUAGUUUAGGAUAACAAAGAAUUAACUUCUUUGUUGAUUCUAGUCCAGUUUAUCUUUUUCACUCAGUUCUUUAUUGUGGCUUAACAUCAUUUGAAGGGGGCACAAAAACAGCACCAGCAUGGUAGCCUGGGGCAACACAAUCAAAGCUCUAUCUCUUGUCUGCCAUGGUAAACAUGUACAGAAGAGGCAGGACUUCAAACAUAUCACCGCCACCGCCAUUUUGCUUUUUUUUUUUUUUUUUUUUGCUUUCUACUCCUUACUCUCAAAGGUCAGCAGCAUUGCCUAGGGAAGAAAGGAGGGGUUGAGGUCAGAUUGAUGUAUAUUUCUACUCUAUGUACAUUGUGAUCUGGUAUUCAUGCCCCCAAAGGGGGGGACGGGACAAAGCUUGUGAUUUGAUAUAUCCCAGGCAGUGUCUCUCUGGCUACAAAGUGAUGGUGGUGGUGAUAUGGCUGGUGAUAAUGAUGAUGAUGAUGGUUAAAAUUUAUAUGAUCACCCAACUCACUCUCAAUGAUUCUGAUCAUCAAACAAGGAUCAAAUCUCAAUACAAAAAACAAUAGUUAAGACAGGCAACUUGAUAAACCGAAGCAUAUCAAAUCCAUGGUUGGCUUCAUAGUAACUUAGGGUAACUACCAAGAACCCUUCCACCAACAAAGACAGGAAAAGCCACUAGUAUAUAAACAGAGAGCAAACCCUGCUCCCUUCCAAUACUGAUGAUGUUACCUGGUAGAGUCAUGAAAUGUCUGCAAGAACCAACCAACGUCAGAAAGCAUCAAGGAUUCCACAAGGAUAACUUAUGGUAAUCAUAGUUCACUGUGUAUCUUUCUCCCAGACCUAUAUUCUGCAGUUGAGCUGCCUGAUAUAAAGGAAGAUAUGGUUUGAACAAUAAAUUGCAAAGCAGAGCCAAUGUCAAUCAUAUCCGCUCUGGGGUGGGUGAAAUCAAAAACUUGUGAACAAUAAACUAUGCAGAGAUGACAGAGGUAGCUGCAACAGCUGCAAAGAACAUUGGAAGAUUAAGUUAAUCAGCAGUUAUUCUAUUAGUGGGUUAGUCCCCAACCAUAUUUAAUGCUGGGCUAAGUCCACAGUAGCUGUGAUUUCUCAAUCUCAUUAUGAUAGGCAGAUUUCCUGGGAAUAGGCAUGCUAUAUACACGGGCUGUUUACCUCAACCAUCUGACAGCUUCUUUGCCUCUGCAUUGUUCUAGCAUUCCUCUAUGGAAAUGUUCAGUGGAAUAAUUUUAAUGAUAAUUGAAGAUGCUCUUUCAUGUGGCGAUCUUGUCUAAUUAACACCUUUCAGAAUUGGUGAAAUCUACAUUACUUUCUAUUCUGAAUCUAACACUUAUUCCAGAUGGACUGAUAAUUGGAACAUUCUCCAAUGAGUUUUAAAAAAAACCAUGGUCCAUUUUUUUGCAUCUUGAAAAACAUUAUACUUCCAUAGAACAUUCAUUCUGUGACCACUUAUUCUGCAUUCAAGGAACUACACUUUGCAUUGGAAAUUGGUGCGAAUCCCCAGUUGUUUGGGCUGCUAGUAUGGCACAUAACAUGAAAUAAAUGAUUUUAAAAAAAAACUGUUUAAAACACAUUUUAUUUACACUGUUUAAACAAAUGCAUUGAUAUAAAUGACUGUAUAGCUAUAUACUGUAUAUACUAUAUACCAUAUGUGUUGUAUUUGUGCUGAUAAAUAA